AAGGCGCCAUUCUCGAAAAUCCCUUCUCUUUCUCCGCCGAUCUCACCAUUGUCUCUCUCUCUCUCUCUCUCUCUCUCUCUCUGAGAAACACACACGAAGAGAGGACAGCAAAGGAAUGGCCUUCACCAAUCGAGCACCAGCAGUACCACCAUCCGGCCUCGAUCCCGUCAUCUCCAAGCCCCAUCGCUUGUUUGACCUCGACCACAACUUGGCCGGAUUCUUCAUUUUCCAUCAGAGAAUGAUGAUGUUGGAUAUUUUCAAGUAGAGGGAAAGUUUGAAGUUCUGAGCUACAGAUUGUUUAGACCAGAUAUUGGGUUACAGAAAUGCAUGUGGAUGGCUAUCGCUUUUAUCUUGCUUCUAUCCUGACGAGGGGUAGCAGUCUAUGGGAUGCAGUUAAUGUUUAUGGCAAUCCAAUGGGAGGUGACUUGCUGACAACCGGCACUCCUCUCAGCAACCCACCAUUAAUUGAUAUGAUUAGCAAUGAUCCAGUACUUCGCGGAGUCAAGGUAAUUACUGUUGGCUCUUUCUUUAUUCUCAUUAGGGAAGUUCGGGCUUUAGUAACAUGCCUACCUAUCUCAGUCCGUGGAGGAAAGUAGAAUAAGUGUUUCCCACUUCUUUUCCAAGUAAAAUUUUAGUACCAGCAAUAUCUUCCCAUCCAUGUGGAGGAAAAUAGAAUGAGGUACAAAAGCUAUUUUGGGUUCAAGUCUCUUCGUCUACAUUUGUUUCUCGCUGCAUUCUUGGUCUCUUGCCGUUGUCUUCUUCUCUAUGUUCGUGGAUGAUUUUCAUAAAGAGCUUAAGCUUUUGGGAUUAUCGUGAUUAAAUAAGUGCUAGCACUAGAAUUGUUUGCCAAUUUCAGGACUUAUUCCUUACAUUAGGUAGUAACCCAUGCCAUCGUUGUGGUGAGAGCACAUUUGUCAGCCUUGAAGUCUUUGAGGACUUGAAGACUCAUGGGAUGAGCACUGCGGAGUUCUCUUUCACCUUCAACAAGAUAAAGGGCUAACCUCCCUCAGUUUUGUUAACUAGGUCGACCAACAUAUGGGGCUUGGUUGACCAAAGCAAGGUCCUUUUUUUUUUGCUAAGGACCAAAGCAAGGUCCUGCAUGCUAUUGAAGCAUCCUACAUUUUGUCAACCAAUGCAGUUUGGUUGGCCAAAGUGGAAAGUCUUUAAACCCAUUGACAUAUAAGCAGUGGCUAUGACUGUGGGGGGUUGGCCCUUAUUUGGCCAAAUUAGUCUGAUGAAGCUUGGUGAUAUAUCCUUGUACUCACUAAUACUCGUGUAUACAUACACACACACUCUGAUAUGUUGGGUUGAAUUGGCAAACUUCAUUUGCUUGUUUCUUGUACUUCCUUAGUGAAUUAUCUCAUCAAAUUAGUACAUUAUAUGAUACUCGCAUCUGUGCUGGCUUCUUCUAUUUUCAUUAAUAACUUGCAUUUCAUUUUGUGUCGU